rnacentral:tRNA from 1 species
CUUCCUAUAGUUCAAUGGAUAGAAUAGUCCCCUCCUAAGGGAUAGAUCCAGGUUCGACUCCUGGUGGGGAGACCA